CUUGCUAAGUUUGAUGGCGACCGGCGCACGGGUGAGUAACACGUAUCCAACCUGCCGAUAACUCGGGGAUAGCCUUUCGAAAGAAAGAUUAAUACCCGAUGGCAUAGUUCUUCCGCAUGGUGGAACUAUUAAAGAAUUUCGGUCAUCGAUGGGGAUGCGUUCCAUUAGGUUGUUGGCGGGGUAACGGCCCACCAAGCCUUCGAUGGAUAGGGGUUCUGAGAGGAAGGUCCCCCACAUUGGAACUGAGACACGGUCCAAACUCCUACGGGAGGCAGCAUG
rnacentral:rRNA from 1 species